rnacentral:rRNA from 1 species
AUUGAACGCUGGCGGCAGGCCUAACACAUGCAAGUCGAACGGAUGGCGGACGGGUGAGUAAUGUCUGGGAAACUGCCUGAUGGAGGGGGCUGACUACUGGAAACGGUAGCUACUACCGCAUACCAUCGGAUGUGCCCAGGUGGGAUUAGCUAGUAGGUGGGGUAAAGGCUCACCAAGGCGACGAUCCCUAGCUGGUCUGAGAGGAUGACCGGCCACACUGGAACUGAGACACGGUCCAGACGCCUACGGGAGGCAGCAGUGGGGAAUAUUGCACAAUGGGCGCAAGCCUGAUGCAGCCAUGCCGCGUGUAUGAAGAAGGCUUUCGGGUUGUAAAGCACUGUCAGUGGGGAGGCGUUACCCGAAGAAGAAGCACCGGCUAACUCCGUGCCAGCAGCCGCGGUAAUAC